AUUGAACGCUGGCGGCAUGCUUUACACAUGCAAGUCGAACGGUAACAGGCCUUCGGGUGCUGACGAGUGGCGAACGGGUGAGUAAUGCAUCGGAACGUGCCCAGAGGUGGGGGAUAACGCAGCGAAAGCUGUGCUAAUACCGCAUGUGAUCUGAGGAUGAAAGCGGGGGACCAAGCAGCAAUGUUUGGCCUCGCGCCUCUGGAGCGGCCGAUGUCAGAUUAGGUAGUUGGUGGGGUAAAGGCCUACUAAGCCGACGAUCUGUAGCUGGUCUGAGAGGACGACCAGCCACACUGGGACUGAGACACGGCCCAGACUCCUACGGGAGGCAGCAGUGGGGAAUUUUGGACAAUGGGCGCAAGCCUGAUCCAGCAAUGCCGCGUGCGGGAAGAAGGCCUUCGGGUUGUAAACCGCUUUUGUACGGAACGAAAAGGCUCUGGCUAAUACCUGGGGCUGAUGACGGUACCGUAAGAAUAAGCACCGGCUAACUACGUG
rnacentral:rRNA from 1 species